GGGGGGCCGGAGCUCGGCGGCUGCCGUCUUACGACAGAUCCUGGAAAGAGGAUCAAGGUGGGGCCCGCCCCGCUCCGCGCCCCGCCGACGGGGCGGCCCGGGCUCGGGGGAGGCCGCCGGGAGCGCGGCCCCGUCGGCGCGGCCGGGCCGUGGGAGAGCUGCAGGCGGCGAGGCCCGAGCGGCGAGCUCCAGCGCGGCAGGGUAAAGGCAUUUCUGGUAAUUGAAACCUGCUCUGGAAACGUGCGCGAGGAGAGAGCCCUAAGCAGGAACACAAGCAGCGCUAUCGGCCAAAGGAGGUUUUACCCCGUCGGGCCAGGAGAUGAGGACGCCUCGGUACGAGCCUUGGUUUACACUUGUGUUCAAUUAACGUUAAAGAACAGCAUGAGAUUAAAUUGACCCUGUGCUGUUUUAUAAAAGGCUUAGGACAUGUUUACAAACAGCUCUGCAUAAAACCUGGCCACCAGCAAGGGCCCCGCGGUCCUGUACUCGCACGCACGCACGCACGCGGCGCUCGCUGCGUUGCACCCCCUGGGCACGGGGCAGCCCCAUGGGAUGGGUGGGCAGCGUGGGGCCAGGCAGAGGCCGAGCCACCCCCACCUCCACCUGCAGCUCUGCCCUUUGCCCCCGCAGCCCGAUUCAGCAGACCCGUGCCCGGUUCGUGCAGUCGGUAGCGUUUUCUGGCAGAGCCGUGCGGGCGUCCCCCUGGCCCCCGUGCUGGCAGCGCCGCAGGAAUGCAACACCUUGACUUCCUAAUUCCUCCGGCUGCGGGGACGCUGCUGCCAGCCAGCACGCGGAAGGGCAAAAGCCAGGGGAAGCCCAGCCGGGGCCGGGCAGCCUAAGGGCUGUGCCAGGCCGUGUCCAGAGGCACAGCCUUCAUGCAGGGACAUGCGAUGGCCGCUGUGAAGCCCCCUGUGUCCUGCUGGGUCUGUCCUCACCGGAGCUGGCCGUGCAGAAGAGGAGCAGCAAGUGCCAAGAGGGGCUGGUGCAGUUGCAGGGACAGAGGCUCUGCUGCUGCAGACACAUGCUCGUCCUGGUGUCUUUUUCAUCUGUGAGGCAGGCCAAGCAGUGGAUUCAAUUAUUUUUUCCUAGCACAUAAGCCACUAAUCACUUACCGCAUUAAAAAAAGCCUCAUCUCCACAACUUUUGUUCCCAUUUUGCCCAAUUUAAACUCAAAUUUAAAAAAAAGCUUCAUUUUCUUUCUUUUUUUUUUUUUUUCAAUCACAAAGAUGCGAUCUUAGCUCCAUUGACUCGCUAAUUGUAAGCAUUCAAAUGGCCGGGUUUAAAGUUACACUUAGCAGCUGUGAAACAUUAGGGUGAAGUGAUUACAACCUACUGGAGGAUACCGAACAUUUUUACAAUAUCUCAGGAGCAUAAGGGAAAGACAACAGGAAAUGGCGCAAACUUUCCUACCCUGCACAGUAACAAGCCAAAGCAAAGAAGUGAGAAAAGAAAUGCAGAGACGCAGUGUGGACACAGCUUGGAUCCUCAAAAAAAACAAAACAACAACAACAAAAAUACCCUAAUGAAGCCCCAUGAAAGCACCACACGUUUAUCCCCAUACUUGGGGAGGGCGGGGAGGUUUCACAGCUGCUCCAAGCAGCAAAAUCCUCCUGCAGGCUCCCUGCCCUGCCCCGGCUGCCUCCCCACGCUGGCCUUUGUGCGGCCUCGUUGCCAGCGAGAUUUGGGCAGGGUCUGAGGCAGAGGAGGGGACAGUGUAGGGACAGAGGGGACAUGGUGUGGGUCUCUGCUCCCACACGCAGGGCAGAAGCACCUGGAAGCUCCCGACCCCUCUGGUCCUCGACUGAGCCCCAACUCCAAGCAGUGGCGUUUGGAGAACCUCCGACUUCCCACUUCUUUCCAAGCGGCCAAACAUUCCCCUGAACUGAAGCACGCUACAUGCGUGUGUUUAUUACAGAAACCAGGGUAGAAUAAGAAAGCAAUAUUUCAUGUUAAUUCAUGAAAUCUGAACUCAACUUUUAAUAGAAGAGCUCCACUUUAUGCACAGAGUGAUAUACAGUCCGCCCCGCUUUAAAUGAGACGUUUUGCCUUUUGAACUCAGCAGGAGGCCGCUGCUUACUACUACUGGAAACAGUUUAAAACCCUCCGAGUCCCGCAUGUCUUUUGGGCUCUUUUCGAGACAGUGUUUUAUAUCAUGGGACAGCAUUCUUGCUGCGCUGCCUGUGACGGCCUGCCAGCUGCGCCCUUUGAAACUUCGGCAUUUCAGAAGCUCACCUGGAUUAUUUCCCCCACAACGCGAGACACUCGGCCAAAACCCUGUGAGGACCACGAGCCUCUUGCGGCGUUUUGCUCCAACUGGGCUUUGGAGCGGGUCCAGGGGGGUUGAAAACCUGGUUAAAUCGGAGUCGGGGGCAAACCUCCCUCAGGCCACAGCUUUACCCAUCCCCGGCUGCUCCUGGGUGCUGCCUGGGGGCCCCAAUCCCACUCCCAGGAGCCAAACCCCAAGGGCGCAGCAAGGCCCUGGCUCCCAGGCCCCACACAGCUCCCACACAAGGCCCUGGUGCCCGGGGGCGUGCAGGGCAGGUGUCAGGUCCAGGAAGCUCUUGGUGCCAGCUCAAGGGGGCUUUGAGUGGCUGCCCGAGCCUGGCACAUGAGCUGGGGCAGUGUCAGGCCCACACGUGUGUGUCCAGCACUGCGAACACCUUGGGAACGUCGAAUCGGAGCCUACAGAGUUACUGUUCCAACACACUUGGCUUUCACUGGCUCACCGAAGAGCUGGAACUCGGUUAUUCUGCUGGGUCAUCUGUGAAAGUAUCAAAUUAAAGUUAAAUUAGCCACCUCA